ensembl:lncRNA
ACGUCUGUCUGUGUCUUGUUCUCUUUCCUCCUUCACCGUCUUUUCUGUCUUUCCUUGACUACUUCCCUUACCCGUUCCCUUCCUCUCUAUCACAGCAAGAAAUAGAGACCCUCCUUGGGUGGCUCCGACUUCAUCCCAAUGGGAGGUAGGCAGAGCAAGCAAGUCUAUCAAAACCCCAAACUUGGACAACUGACUUAUUCUCUCCUGAGCCAGGUUUAAAAUACACCCGGCUCCCCUGACCCCUAAACACUAGUCCAAGCCAACCACAACACAACUUGGAGAACUACCCAGGACUAGAGAAGCUGGGGCUGCUUUAGUGCUGCGGGUCUGUCUGUCCCCCUCCUCUUCCCACUACACCGUGUAGGGAAACAGAACUGGGGCCUUUGGGAAUCUGCCAGCUCCCUGGGGAUCUGUUAGCUCUAGGGCUGUCUGGGAAGUGCUUCAGAUGCCCUCAUUGGUCCCUGGCCCCUCCUGGUCCCACCCGUGGACACUCCACCCCUGCACUUUGCUUGCAAGUCUCUCUGACUACCCAUUUGGUGGUGAGUUCCUCCUCCCACCUCUGGGUCCCUCCCUCAAUCAGUCUUUUGGUCAAAGCCUGUGUUGCCUCUCUCUCAGACCAGUUCAAAGCCCCAGGUAUGAUGGUGUCCCCUGGACCAGGGUGCGACCAUCGGGAGGAGUGCAGGAGCAGAAAACCCUCUGCUUCCCGACACUUCUCCAGCUCUGAGCUGGGAACUGCAGGAGGAAGAGAUGAAGGGGGGUGGGGUGAGCCUCCUGAAGCGGCCCCGCUGGGCAGGGCUGGGCCGGGCUGGGCUGACCCCUCCCCAGUCAGGGGCGGGACCCCAGGAGGAGCCAGGGAGCAGAGCCGCUGGGGAGCAUCAGACGGGGGAGAGUUGCUAUGGCAGGAACGAAUCCCGGGGCCCGCUUCUACAGGCAGAUCAAGAGACAUCCCGCGCUCAUCCCGAUGAUCGGCUUCAUUGGCCUGGGGAUGGGCAGCGCCGCGCUGUACUUGCUGAGACUCGCCCUGCGCAGCCCCGACGUCUGCUGGGACAGAAAGAACAACCCAGAGCCCUGGAACCGCCUGAGCCCCAAUGACCAAUACAAGUUUCUUGCAGUUUCCACUGACUAUAAGAAGCUGAAGAAGGACCGGCCGGACUUCUGAGCUGGCUGGGGUGCCAGCGAGAAGUAAACCACCGUCAGCCAGCCGACUCAUUUCUUCCACUCUCUGCCCCUGCCCCCAGGGCGCCACUCUAGCCACUCCGUCCAGCUGCUGCUUACACAGGCUUGGUUCCCACAGGAGGGGAGACGGCUCCCCACCCCCUUCCCUUGCUCCCGCAGCGGAAGCGCCUCUGACCCUCAGCUUGAGUCCCACGCGGGGGGAGGAGUCAGGAGGGCAGGCAGUGUGUUGACCCAAAAGGCUCAAACCAGCCCCUCUACCCGGGCCUUGCAGGGUGCGGCUCAGGCUACGUGUUGAGCGUGGCCAACGUGAGCCAAGAGCAAGCGGAGGCCUCUCAGUGCCAAGUGACGUGGCGGGCCCCACGUUAGCCCAGGCUCCCGGCGCCAGCGCAGGGGCGGUGCUGCUCUGGCUCGACGGGGCUCGUCGCCUGCCGCCCAGCCUGCCCUGGGUGAGGCAACUUCGCCCGGGGAAGCGCAGCGAGCUCCUUCCUGUGCCCAAGCCCAUGGCUUCCCGAGCCAACAGGCAUCCCCUUUGGCAGCCUUGCACCUGGGCCUCCCCCUGCCAUUCUGCCCCUCCCUGGCUCCCCUCAGUCCCCUGGGAUCAAACAGAAGCAGCCGUGGGCAAAAUACAAUUUCAUUUAACAA